CCGCCCAUAGAGCAACGGCCUUCUAAGCCGUAGGCCGCAGGUUCGAAUCCUGCAGGGCGGGCCA
rnacentral:tRNA from 1 species